UCCAGGCAAGUUUUAGGGUGACCUUGUCUUU
rnacentral:piRNA from 1 species